GACGAACGCUGGCGGCGUGCUUAACACAUGCAAGUCGAACGGAAAGGCCCUGCUUGCUUGGUGUUCUCGUGGGGCGAAGGUGGGUGUAACACGUGUGUAACGUGCUCUACACUUUGGUAUGACUUCAGGAAACUGGCGCUAAUCCCAUAUAGGAGACCCUCCCGCGGUGUGGGGGGGGGAACUUUUCGGCGGUUGGGGAUGGACGCGCGGCUUAUCAGCUUGUUGGUGGGGUUGUGGCUUACCAAGGCUGUGACGGGUAGCCGACCUGAGAGGGUGACCGGCCACACUGGGACUGAGAUACGGCCCAGACUCCUACGGGAGGCAGCAGUGGGGAAUAUUGCACAAUGGGCGCAAGCCUGAUGCAGCGACGCCGCGUGCGGGAUGACGGCCUUCGGGUUGUAAACCGCUUUCGCCUGUGACGAAGCGUGAGUGACGGUACCGGGUGAAGAAGCACCGGCUAACUACGUG
rnacentral:rRNA from 1 species